UUUUUCACAGCUCAGCAGCUGGAGAGCGUGAGACUCUUAAUCUCAGGGUCGUGGGUUCGAAACCUACAUUGGGGGGAAAG